ensembl:lncRNA
CGCCCCUUCCGUCUGUGCCUCGCCCAGUGAGGCCUGGAGCCUGGAACUCGCUCUACUACCCAGAGGGAACCCAGCGAGUCGCCAUCUUUAGUGUGGGCAAAGGACUACUGCGCUGUUUAUUUCGCUUAACCACGCUCUGCAGGAGGAGCGUACAGGGGCGCGCGGAAGAAAACGGAUUUUCCUAGCACUGUGGAAAAGAGUCCAGGAGUAGGAGAUUGGAUUGGCUACCCAUGAAACCGCGGAUGAUCGGGAGGACUGCCCAGAGUAAACGUGGUUCCCCAGGCAUCUCGUGCUUUGGCUCGAGCUCCGCCCCGGAGGGAUCUGGAAGAGGAGGCGGGUUUUACCAGCUGCUGUAAGCGUGGUGUCGGCUGUGGUACCCGAUUCAUACUGAAUGAGCGACUGUCUAACCUGAGAGGUUAGUUCAGGGGCCAUGCUGGAUCCUCAGAAGAUAGUGAUGGG